rnacentral:rRNA from 1 species
GAUGAACGCUGGCGGCGUGCCUAAUACAUGCAAGUCGAGCGAACGGAUAAGGAGCUUGCUCCUUUGAAGUUAGCGGCGGACGGGUGAGUAACACGUGGGUAACCUACCGAUAAGACUGGAAUAACUUCGGGAAACCGGAGCUAAUGCCGGAUAACAUUUGGAACUGCAUGGUUCUAAAGUAAAAGAUGGUUUUGCUAUCACUUAUAGAUGGACCCGCGCCGUAUUAGCUAGUUGGUAAGGUAACGGCUUACCAAGGCAACGAUACGGAGCCGACCUGAGAGGGUGAUCGGCCACACUGGAACUGAGACACGGUCCAGACUCCUACGGGAGGCAGCAGUAGGGAAUCUUCCGCAAUGGACGAAAGUCUGACGGAGCAACACCGCGUGAGUGAUGAAGGUUUUCGGAUCGUAAAACUCUGUUAUUAGGGAAGAACAAAUGUGUAAGUAACUGUGCACAUCUUGACGGUACCUAAUCAGAAAGCCACGGCUAACUACGUGCCAGCAGCCGCCGCCG